CGGUUACAUCGGUGGACAGGUGGUGCAUGGUUGUCGUCAGCUCGUGUCGUGAGAUGUUGGGUUAAGUCCCGCAACGAGCGCAACCCCUAUUGUUACGUUGCCAUCAUUCAGUUGGGCACUCUAGCGAGACUGCCGGUAAUAAACCGGAGGAAGGUGGGAUGACGUCAAAUCAUCAUGCCCCUUAUGACCUGGGCUACACACGUGCUACAAUGGUUGGUACAACGAGUUGCGAGUCGGUGACGGCGAGCUAAUCUCUUAAAGCCAAUCUCAGUUCGGAUUGUAGGCUGCAACUCGCCUACAUGAAGUCGGAAUCGCUAGUAAUCGCGGAUCAGCACGCCGCGGUGAAUACGUUCCCGGGCCUU
rnacentral:rRNA from 1 species